rnacentral:lncRNA from 1 species
UAGCUUUGCUUUCUUCCUCUGCAGUGCAUUUUCUUUUCAUGCUUUUGGAACUCCAAUAUAUAAUCUUCCUAGUCCUCUUUUGUACCUGGUGUUUUACCUCUUAAAGGUCUUYACAGCAAGGUUGAUAUCUCUAGUAUCCUGGCUGGAAUCCAGUGCUGACAGAAGCACGUCAGAUGACCUAAGAAGGACAUGUGGAUCUCCGAGAAGUUGCUCUCAGUCUCAAAGUUUUGUAAGCUCUUCUGACCUCUGGAAUUUUAAGCGCAUCACUUCUCUACAGCAGCAGCAAGAGGGAGAGCUGGGAUUUGCAGGCGGAUGA